rnacentral:tRNA from 1 species
GGAUUGUGGCUCAGUGGUAGAGCGCUCGCUCGCCUAGCAUGUGCGGGGCCCUGGGUCCGAUCCUCAGCACCA